rnacentral:piRNA from 1 species
GCCAUUUCUGGACCUGCUUGAGAACUCGCU